AGUGAACGCUGGCGGUAGGCCUAACACAUGCAAGUCGAACGGCAGCACAGUAAGAGCUUGCUCUUACGGGUGGCGAGUGGCGGACGGGUGAGGAAUACAUCGGAAUCUACUUUUUCGUGGGGGAUAACGUAGGGAAACUUACGCUAAUACCGCAUACGACCUACGGGUGAAAGCAGGGGAUCUUCGGACCUUGCGCGAUUGAAUGAGCCGAUGUCGGAUUAGCUAGUUGGCGGGGUAAAGGCCCACCAAGGCGACGAUCCGUAGCUGGUCUGAGAGGAUGAACAGCCACACUGGAACUGAGACACGGUCCAGACUCCUAUGGGAGGCAGCAGUGGGGAAUAUUGGACAAUGGGCGCAAGCAUGAUCCAGCAAUACCGCGUGGGUGAAGAAGGCCUUCGGGUUGUAAAGACCUUUUGUUGGGAAAGAAAAGCAGCAGGUUAAUACCCCGCUGUUCUGACGGUACCCAAAGAAUAAGCACCGGCUAACUUCGUG
rnacentral:rRNA from 1 species